rnacentral:rRNA from 1 species
GUCGAACGGUAGCAGGAUGUGCUUGCACAUCGCUGACGAGUGGCGGACGGGUGAGUAAUGCUUGGGAACUUGCCUUUGCGAGGGGGAUAACAGUUGGAAACGACUGCUAAUACCGCAUAAUGUCUUCGGACCAAACGGGGCUUUUAGCUCCGGCGCAAAGAGAGGCCCAAGUGAGAUUAGCUAGAUGGUGAGGUAAAGGCUCACCAUGGCGACGAUCUCUAGCUGUUCUGAGAGGAAGAUCAGCCACACUGGGACUGAGACACGGCCCAGACUCCUACGGGAGGCAGCAGUGGGGAAUAUUGCACAAUGGGGGAAACCCUGAUGCAGCCAUGCCGCGUGUGUGAAGAAGGCCUUCGGGUUGUAAAGCACUUUCAGUUGUGAGGAAAGGUUGGUAGUUAAUACCUGCCAGCUGUGACGUUAACAACAGAAGAAGCACCGGCUAACUCCGUGCCAGCAGCCGCGGUAAUACGGAGGGUGCGAGCGUUAAUCGGAAUUACUGGGCGUAAAGCGCACGCAGGCGGUUUGUUAAGCUAGAUGUGAAAGCCCCGGGCUCAACCUGGGAUGGUCAUUUAGAACUGGCAGACUAGAGUCUUGGAGAGGGGAGUGGAAUUCCAGGUGUAGCGGUGAAAUGCGUAGAUAU